ACUAAGUGGAUCCACUAAGCAAUAAGGAUUCAUCUAAAAAGUAUGAUCUUUUACCUAUGUUGGCAAGACAUGGUUUAUGAGGAUUUUGAGUUAUUUGAGCUCAUCCUCAUAUCAGGGCUCAAUACUACUCCCAAUAAUAUAUAUACUUAUGCUCAAAUGUAUCAAACAUACUCUUUCUUUGGUUUUGAGAUAAUUGCUCAAACUAUCCUCUUAAAAGAGGUAACUG
rnacentral:lncRNA from 1 species